GCUGGCGGCACGCCUUAUACAUGCAAGUCGAACGCAGUAGCAAUACUGAGUGGCAAACGGGUGAGUAUAAUGUGGGUAUCUGCCUUUUGGUUUGGAAUAACAUGAGGAAACUUGUGCUAAUACCGGAUAAGCCUUUACAGGGAAAGUUUUAUACGCCGAAAGAUGAGCCCGCACUUGAUUAGUUUGUUGGUGAGGUAAUGGCUCACCAAGACAAUUAUCAAUAGCUGGUCUGAGAGGACGAUCAGCCACAUUGGGACUGAGACACGGCCCAGACUCCUACGGGAGGCAGCAGUAAGGAAUCUUGCACAAUGGGGGAAACCCUGAUGCAGCGAUGCCGCGUGAGUGAAGAAGGCCCUUGGGUUGUAAAACUCUUUCGUCGGGGAAGAAAAUGACUGUACCCGAAUAAGAAGGUCCGGCUAACUUCGUGCCAGCAGCCGCGGUAAUACGAAGGGACCUAGCGUAGUUCGGAAUUACUGGGCUUAAAGAGCUCGUAGGUGGUUAAAAAAGUUGAUGGUGAAAUCCCAAGGCUCAACCUUGGAACUGCCAUCAAAACUUUUUAGCUAGAGUGUGAUAGAGGAAAGUGGAAUUUCUAGUGUAGAGGUGAAAUUCGUAGAUAUUAGAAAGAACACCAAAUGCGAAGGCAACUUUCUGGGUCACUACUGACACUGAGGAGCGAAAGCAUGGGUAGCGAAGAGGAUUAGAUACCCUCGUAGUCCAUGCCGUAAACGAUGUGUGCUAGACGUUGGAAAUAUAUUUUUCAGUGUCGCAGCGAAAGCAUUAAGCACACCGCCUGGGGAGUAC
rnacentral:rRNA from 1 species